rnacentral:tRNA from 2 species
AGAGGCUUAGGAUAACCAGACCAAGGGCCUUCAAAGCCCUAAGUAAGAGUGAAAAUCUCUUAGCCCCUG